rnacentral:lncRNA from 1 species
UAACUUUUUCUAUGUUGUACUGUUAUAAGAACUAGGAAUUUUUAACCUUACCUCUCAAGCUACUCCUAAUUUUCUUUCAUUAUAUUUGCUCUUGUGAUCUAUAUUUUGCUUCAAUGAAUCCUCCCACCAGUCCAUUACUGUUUUCCUUUUUAUUCUCAUAGCAAAACCUAUGUUAAGUGAUUUUUUUUUGUACUGGGGAUCGAACUCAGGUCCUUGCACUUGCACAGCAGGCGGCGAAACCACUGAGCUAAAUCCCUGGCCCCUGUUAAGUGAUUUUUUUCAAGGAAGCUGAUUGUAAGAUGUUGGAUCUAAUCCAGUCUCUAGCAUUGGUAAAUAGUGGUUAAACCGAAAUGAAAGCCAAUUAACUUCAUAACUGUUGCCUGCUUUCAUGUUGCUCUUCUUUGCUUUCCCUUCCCCUCUUUUCUUUUUUACUGAGCACUGCUGUAUGCGACCACACGUCAGGCCAACUCCUGGACAGACAGUGGACGUAGCACACGGUCUCUGCUCCCAUGAGCCCAACAGCUGGAUUGCGGACAUAGCAGAAACAAAAAAAUAAGAAAGACAAAAAAGGGAAAAGAAAACUCUGUGUCCCUAAACAUCACAGGAAAACCUCGUGAGAAGAUAUUUUAGAUCUACAAUGAGCCCCAAAUGUAAAGGUGACUAGAUCACGGAGGCGCUGUACUCAUUAGUGGCUUCACCAUGGAUGAGUUCAUAGCUAAAUGUGCUGUUAGGAAAUGGACCCGGUUGGAAGAGGUGGACUGCUCAGAGACACAUUUCAUGAGGCUCCUCAGAAGUACUGAGCAACGUAGGUCCAAGACUGUGGCCAAUACAUACCCUUCUGUCAACUUCUCUCCCUUCCUUGCCUCAUUUCUCUUAUGUUUCUUUCACUUCUGAGCUUUGAGACCAUUUCCUAAAAAACUGCUUAUAAGUAGGGCUUUUUUCUAAGUUUUACUUCAGGAAACAUUCACAGUGAC